rnacentral:rRNA from 1 species
GACGAACGCUGGCGGCGUGCUUAACACAUGCAAGUCGAACGGUAAGGCCCUUCGGGGUACACGAGUGGCGAACGGGUGAGUAACACGUGGGUGAUCUGCCCUGCACUUCGGGAUAAGCCUGGGAAACUGGGUCUAAUACCGGAUAGGACCACUGCCUGCAUGGGUGGUGGUGGAAAGCUUUUGCGGUGUGGGAUGGGCCCGCGGCCUAUCAGCUUGUUGGUGGGGUGAUGGCCUACCAAGGCGACGACGGGUAGCCGGCCCGAGAGGGUGACCGGCCACACUGGGACUGAGAUACGGCCCAGACUCCUACGGGAGGCAGCAGUGGGGAAUAUUGCACACUGGGCGCAAGCCUGAUGCAGCGACGCCGCGUGAGGGAUGACGGCCUUCGGGUUGUAAGCCUCUUUCAGCACCGACGAAGCGCAAGUGACGGUAGGUGCAGAAGAAGGACCGGCCAACUACGUGCCAGCCGCCGCGGUAAAAC